ACUCGCAAUAAAACACUUUUGAGGGACAAAAAGAGAGAGAGAGAGAUGGGGAGCUUCUCACCUGAAACAAGAUCUAAUCUUCGUGGAAGCUCCAUGGAUCCAUACCCAGAUCCUGAAACCCAAGAAUCUAGCGGGCAAACAAUGGACAACCCAUCAACUGGGUUGCUCCAGAAUGAAGACCCAUGGCUCAGAAACAAGACCAAGAAGAAGAAAAACCAAGUGUUCCUUGAAGGGUAUGUGGAGACACCUGAGGAAGACGAUCUAUUGAGGACCAAGAGCUUGACAGACGAAGAUUUGGACGAGCUCAAGGGGUGUUUGGACCUGGGUUUUGGAUUCAGCUAUGAGGAGAUUCCUGAGCUCUGCAACACUUUGCCUGCUCUUGAGCUCUGCUACUCCAUGAGCCAGAAGUUUCUUGAUGAGCAGCAGAAGUCACCCGAGGCCUCGCCGUCGGCUUCUGUCACCUCCGAAACUCCCAUUGCCAAUUGGAAGAUCUCUAGUCCUGGAGAUCAUCCCGAAGAUGUGAAAGCAAGACUCAAAUUCUGGGCACAGGCUGUGGCAUGUACUGUUAGAUUGUGCAAUUAAAAGCAAUCUAAAACUCCAAAUUCAUCAUCUGAAGAAAAUGAAUGGACAUAUUCUUCACCAUGGGGGAUUUCGUGCUCCGUCUGAUCCUUUGUACGAUCGGUGUUCAAAGGAUGAGAGAUCCUUCGAUUCUUGACCUGGAGAUGGACAUGAUUCGAUCUGUCAAUGAUGGGUCCGCCUUGAAUAAUAAUAAGAAGAGGAAAAAGAAGAAGAGAAUGUUGCAGUGAUAAGAGAUUCUCCAUUGGAGCUUCAUCAGCUACUUGGAGUCCUCUGCAUUUGUUGAAGCAACAACUUUAAUUGGAUGAUCAACAACCAAGGUGUAAUGUUGUGGUUAGAAUUUUUGUUUCUGGUUGGGUCACAAUGACCCGAUUAAUGGAAAAAAAAAAAGGGGUUUGUCCCGUUUUGCUUUGCCGGUGGACCCAUAAUCUAAUCACUGUUGUAAUCCAGUAUAUAAGGAUGUUAGGGCUUGUGGUGUGGGUGAGAGAAAACACUCAAAACUGAACAGUGAGAGAGAGAGAGAGGGGUUUGGGAGAUUGAGAACUUGUAAUCUUAGAGAUAGGGGUUGGGGAUUGAGAACUUGUAAUUUUCGUUUUUCUUUGCAAAGUGAAAACCCUUUGCCGAACCUCACCCUAUACAUAGGCCAUAUGCCGAACUACCUAAAUCCAUGCAUAGUGUGCGAUGCAUGGUUGAUGGGUUUUUUUUUAAGUAAUCUCUUGAUUGUGCUCUUAGUUUUGCAGUGUUUGUGGUGAAGUAGGGUGUUUCUAAACUUUUUUUCCAUGGUCCCAUCAUGAAUCAAGUUGCAGCAUCUUGAUCCGAGUCACAUAAUUUUUCUAAA